rnacentral:lncRNA from 1 species
AAACAGUCAAGAGUACCAGCCUUAAUUUUAUUGCAAAAAAACCUAAAUCACCAAUACAAACACUGACUUUCAGCAACGAUUGCAAAAGUCCUUCCAAACCCUAUGAAAUCCAAUUCUAUAUUUUUUGAAAGAACUUAAAGCUAGCUCUCCGACCCCAAAAUCCCGAUCUCCGAAUGCCCUCUUCUUUUUCUUCUCCUUUCUUUUAACUCCGUGAAGUCCCCUAUUCUUCCACCUUGGACUCCAAAUUGGAAUAGCAAA